rnacentral:rRNA from 1 species
UGCAGUCGAACGGCAACACGGGUGCUUGCACCUGGUGGCGAGUGGCGAACGGGUGAGUAAUACAUCGGAACCUGUCCUGGAGUGGGGGAUAGCCCGGCGAAAGCCGGAUUAAUACCGCAUACGAUCUACGGAUGAAAGCGGGGGACCUUCCGGCCUCGCGCUAUAGGGUUGGCCGAUGGCUGAUUAGCUAGUUGGAGGGGUAAAGGCCUACCAAGGCGACGAUCAGUAGCUGGUCUGAGAGGACGACCAGCCACACUGGGACUGAGACACGGCCCAGACUCCUACGGGAGGCAGCAGUGGGGAAUUUUGGACAAUGGGCGAAAGCCUGAUCCACCAAUGCCGCGUGAGUGAAGAAGGCCUUCGGGUUGUAAAUUUCUUUUGUCCGGAAAGAAAUCCUUGGCUCUAAUACAGUCGGGGGAUGACGGUACCGGAAGAAUAAGCACCGGCUAACUACGUGCCAGCAGCCGCGGUAAUACGUAGGGUGCGAGCGUUAAUCGGAAUUACUGGGCGUAAAGCGUGCGCAGGCGGUUUGCUAAGACCGAUGUGAAAUCCCCGGGCUCAACCUGGGAACUGCAUUGGUGACUGGUGGCUACAGUAUGAGCAGAGAGGGGGUACAAUUCCACGUGUAGCAGUGAAAUGCAUAUGAGAUGUGAAGGAAUACCGAUGGCGAAAUGCCCGCCCCCCCUGUGCACAAGUACUGACGUCGUCAUGACACGCAGAGCGGUAGCGGAGCAAGACAGAGAUUACCACUACCCCUGU